CAGCUAUCAUCAAACAAAUGCGUAAAGAGAUGAAUACCCCGCUGUGCACCCCGAUUUCGGUUGAAGAAUUACUCUUCUACUUUGGUUUUCUUCCAAUUAUGCAGUCACCAGUUUUUGAGUAUCUUUCAGCAACAAGUAUUUGGUGGGAAUGUGAAACACUAUGCGGAGAAGACAUGCAACUCAGCUCACAUGUAAGGGUGAGAAAUUUUUGCUGUAAAUGGAAUUAUACGGCUGAGAUUCCCACAAGCUAAGAAUGAAGAUAGAGACAAGGUUAGUGUUGUUGUCUUAAUUUAAUUUAAUUUAAUUUAAGGUCAUGCCCACAAGCUGUUUGAUGAAAUUCCUCUGAAGGAUUUUCUUCUUCAAAUGGCUUUCAUUUGUUAAUUUAAGGCCAUAUCCGCAAGCUGUUUGAUGAAAGUACUGAAAGAAUUCUCUUCUUCUAAUGGCUUUGAUUUCUUAAUUUAACGUCAUAUCAGCAAACUGUUUGAUGAAAGUUCGGAAAGAAUUCUCUUCUUCUAAUGGCUGUGUUGUCUUCUUUAUAAGCAUUUUCUUGCCCCUUUAAGAUCUAUCGAGUGAUAGCCAGUUUGAUGCAAAUUUUAAAAGUUAAUCAAUUUUCUUGCCCCUUUAAGAUCUAUCGAGUGAUAGCCAGUUUGAUGCAAAUUUUAAAAGUUAAUCAAUUUAUUAGGCUAAAUUAACACUUAACUUUCCACCAAAUAUCAAGAGUACCACAUUUGUGCUAGUCACCUGUCAUCCCAAAGCCUUAAACUCUUGCCACGACCUCCCCCACAAUUGGUUUUUGGUGUAGUCAAGCUUCAAAAUCCCAUUUUAAACCUCAUUUUCUCCUCCAUUUUUAGGCAUUUUGGGACUCAUUUGCCUAAACAAUUACUUUUAAACACUUCCAUUCUUGAAGAACCCAAACUCUUCAUUGUGUGAUAAAAGAGAGACGGUAUCAUGGAUUCUAAAAUUUGGGUAGAAAUCAUCUUAGCCGUUCUUCUUCCACCACCCCUAGUAAAAUAUCCCUGGUAAAAUAUCACUGUCUUCCCUGCUGCGGCAUCUCCAUUUGGUCAAAACAUCUCCAUUUGGUCAAAACAAUGAGAACAAGAAGAGAACAAAAUCAGAGGAGAUCAAUAGCCUCUCUCUUUCACCAUCAACUUCCAUCUUUCCUCCUUCCUUCUAUAAAACACACUUGCUCUCAUGCCACAUUCUCCAGCUUUCUUCUUCUUUUAUUUUUCUGUCUGUAUUCCCUCCAGCUUUCUUCUUCUUUUAUUUUUCUCCAGCUUUCUUCUUCUUUUAUUUUCUGUCUGUAUUCCCUGGUUUUCUUUUCUUUUCUGUCCAUAUUUCAUUGUCCAGCUCUCUCCUUCUCGUUUCUGUCCAUUAUCUUUGAUUCUCUUAUGGAAGAGAACCAAUGGGAGUGGAGGGAAGAGAACAGCAGCAAGAAGGGGAAGAAGGGGAAGGAAAAAAAGAAGGAGAAGAAGGAGAAAAAGAUGGUAAUGUGUCCGGUGUGUUUGCAUGAAGUUGUUGAGAAGAGCAUACUUAACCACCAAAGUCACCACAAUGGAAAAUAUUUUAUUUGUCGAACGUGCUCGGUGAAGUAUAAGUCGAAGAGAGACAUGUGGUCUCAUCAAGAAAAGGAUAACCACAAAUAAAUCAACGGUCUCACCACCCCUAUCUAUCUAUAUUUAUCUGUUGUGUCUUUCUUCUCCUACUAUGAAGUAUGAAUCUGCUUAUUGUGAAUAACUCCGUGUAUUAUCUAUAUUUAUCUGUUGUGUCUUUCUUCUCUUAAUCUGAAGUAUGAAUCUAAAGUAUGAAUUGUUUAUUGU